CAACGGCCUUUCUAUUUGGACCUCCAAACACAUACUAAAAAUAUUGGCUUCACCAGCUCCCAGUUCAUUUAUCUAAUUAUAUUUUUACAAUAUCUCAGACAAUAUUAGUAACCCAAAUGACAUAGUACUAUAGUCAACUAUUUUAAAUACUAAACUCUUAUAGAACCUUAUAGUUUGACAAAUAAUCAAGCCAUAAUAACUAGAGCUCCUAAUUACAAAAUAAUGAAAAUGAGUCUCGUUUAGUUAUCUAAUAUGUAAUUGGUAUCCGGCCUAUCGUACCUAUGUCUCAACUGAAAAAAAAAAAUCUCCCAAUACAAAUGUGUACACUUAUUCAUAUCUAUUCUUAUAAUUGUUCCAAUAAUUAGCAACCUAGCAGUAAUUGUUCUGCCACGGC
rnacentral:lncRNA from 1 species